CUCUUCUUGAAAUUUUUAAGAAGUAUUACCUGCCCAAUGAUAAAAUUUAAUGGCCGCGGUAUUUUGACCGUGCAAAGGUAGCAUAAUCAUUAGUCUUUUAAUUGAAGGCUGGAAUGAAUGGUAGGACGAGAUAAUUACUGUCUUAUUAAUAUUAGAUUGAACUUAAUUAUUGAGUAAAAAAGCUUAAAUAUUUUUAUGGGACGAGAAGACCCUAUAGAGUUUAAUAUUUGUUUAUAUAGAAUUAUGGGUAAUAUUAGUUAUUAUUUAUAAAUAUUUUGUUGGGGUGACAGGAAGAUAAAUGUAACUCUUUUUAUAAAAUGAUUACAAAUUUGUAUAUUUUUGAUCCAUAAAAUUAUGAUUAUAAGACUAAAUUACC
rnacentral:rRNA from 1 species